GAGCUUUCGCUACCAGCGACCGGUGCGUGCGGGCGGCUCCCGGCGCGGUGGCUGAUUCUGGAAGGAUUUUGAGCCGAUCGUCUGCAGAGUUGUGCCGCUGCCUGUCUGUCGGCUGCAGGGCUGCCGGAGAGGGGCCGGUCCUCGCUACCAAUCCAAUGUCCGACCGACCUAUCGCUGGACACUCUGGACGACCACAGCUCAUGUGCGGCAGUACGAGCGCCGCCGUUGGCACCGAGAUAAAAGUCCAUCUGCCGGUCAAAACUGAACUGCGGCCAACGGAAACUCCAGUUCUCUCACAGGACGCCUGGGAGUUCGCGAGUUGGGGACACUACUCCAGCAUACCGACCGACCGAUGGACGUCACUUCAAGGGAUCACGUCACAAACUUGACCCGUGUUUGGCGGCAGUGUCUGGUCGGUGUCGGGGCGGUCUCCCGGUGCUGAGUCCCGGCCGUCGGCUGCAUUGUUGACCCAAGAUGCCGGUCCGUGGUCCGAAAUCCGGCCACCUCGGACCUGACGCCGUACAGACUCCGAACGGUGCGGCAGUGCAGGAGGGAGUGUGGCGCCGGUAUACAGCUGACACCAGACAUCCGUCCAUCGGCCUCGUACCUGGUCAAAGGUUCACCUCACCAGAGCGAUAGACGUCGGCCCUGCUCCAACACACCACCGGGACCCAUCACAGGUUUCGGCUUACCAGGUCGUUUGCAUGCGAAGGACUUCAAACAAGGAGCACCAAGAGUCGGAGAGCAGAAGAACCUCGUCCAAAGGGGGGGGGGAGGGGUAAUCGGGGAAGGAGGCAUGCGUGCAUGCCUUCUCUCCUGAUUACCCCCUCCCUACCACGUAUAGGGGAGGGGGUGAUUAGGGGGAGGUAGGUGAGCCUGGCCUCUCUCCUGAUUAUCCCCUCCCCUACCACGUGUAGGGGGGGGGGUGAUCAGGGGGAGGUAGGUGAGCCUGCCCUCUCCUGAUUAUCCCCUCCCCUACCACGUGUAGGGGGGGGGGUGAUCAGGGGGAGGAAGGUGAACCUGCCCUCCCCUGAUUCUCCCUUCCCCCGCCGUGUAAAGGGGGAGGGCAGGCACACCUACACCCUCCCCCCGAUUGCCCCCUACCCUAUGUGUAGGGGGCAAUCGGGGGGGGGGGGGGGGUAGGUAGGUGGGCCUGCUUUCUUCCCCGAUUGCCCCCUCCCCAGCAAUGGGGGGGGGGAGUAAUCGGGGAAGGAGGCGGGCGUGCCUUCCCUCCCUGCCAUGUGUGUGAAAGGGGGGGGGGUAAAUCCCCUCACCUGCCGUGUAUGUGGGGGGGGGGGGGGUAAGUGAACAUCAGAAGAAAAAUACAUGCUGGACUCUC